rnacentral:lncRNA from 1 species
AACAUUCUCGGCAUUCAUCUCUUUCACAUAUUAGCCAUGUUCUCGUCCACUACAAGUGUGAAGUGCAUCGUGUGUGCUAGCAUGCUCUCUAGUGAAACAAAACAAAGACUAUCAAACUUCAACAGAGUCCUCACUAUGCGCCGUUAAUCAGAAUCAGACUUAAACACUUCUUUACAAAAGAGUCAACUACAAUUUAGGGUCACCAAAGAAUUUCUAUGCCUCUCCUAUUUUUUCUAUUUUUUUUCUUGCUAAGUCUAAGGUUGGGACGCUUCUCAGUGUAAGUGAGUCACGACCGCCAUUCGACGUCGCUUAUUCCUUUUUUUUUCUUCUUUUUUUUAAUCAAGUAUUUCUCCAGUAAUCAAGGGUUGUGAAAAGUCACCAAGAAAAUGCUUAUUCUAAUACAUUUGCACUUAAUACCAGCACAAGUACAUGGAUCGUCCUUUUCACAUGACAUUGCAUUUUACCCAUUGAUCUCAAAGGAGUACCCGAUAAUUUUUAUUCUUUUUUUUUUCUCUUUUUUUUUUCUUUUUUUUAGAAAGGCAUAUUCAUCCCUUAACUCCCC